CCUGGCAAAAUAAGGAAGGCAAGAAGGAGAACUAAGUGGAGGGGACUGCACUUUUUGAAUACAGGGAGGUGGUGCCUUGCACAGGAAGAGACAGGUGGGCUGGGAGAGAAGCUGUUUGCCCACGGUCUGCAAACUUGGAGAACUGCAGCCCGGACAGGUAGGAGGACUGGUGAGACCUGCAUGCCAACUUCAGAGAUCAGAAUAACACUCUGCUUUGUUUCUGUGGUCAAGCUUGCAAACAUAUUUAAAACUUAUCUGGGUGAUUUGUCAAUGGACUUACUUAAACAGUUUACGUCCUAACUCUAAGUAAGAAUAGGUCUGUGCCUUUGAGCAAUACUGACACCCAGUGUUGGAAUUUUUAGAACUGAAAGGGAGGAGGAAGAAGAAAUGCUAAAUAUAACUGCUCUCAUUCACUGAAGUUCAC
ensembl:lncRNA